rnacentral:lncRNA from 1 species
UUAAUAACACUAGAGGGCGUACUCGCUCAAAUUGCUGUGUGGACCUGGAGCUGUGGCCGCCAUUACUAAGGAGGGCAGAAAAACGAACGACCCAACAAGGUACUGUGCACAACAUACGUGGAAAAAAUUGGAGAAGCCAGGUUCGUGCGUUGCAUUUGGAUGUUCGAACCGAAGAAAGAAAGGGAACUGCAUAAUAUUUCACAAGAAUACACCCAAGGGAGGAAAGGAUGUUACACACCACAUCUCAUUCUUAGAGCUGUGCCAACUGUCUUUCCUGGACAUCCUCCCUAUAAACAGACCCAUGGCUCAAGACUCCCAGCAAAACCAUGUACAACAUCCAAAAGUGUUCCCGUGCCUCCAAAGAAACCCUAUGACAUUACAAAAGAACAUGACUAUUCUUUUUCUGUCUGAGUUGAUUAGAAACUGAAUAUAACCAGACAGCAAGUGCAAGAUGCCAAGAAACAGCUUAAAGUGGUGAAACAAGGUAAACAGGAGAGAUGGAAAAACCAGGACUCUCUUGCAGGAAGUCCACGAAAGCAAGCUCAUUAGCCAGGAUCAGCUUGACCUACUUCAACACAACUUUGGAGAGAACGCAUUUUCAGGAAAAA